GUAUUGUUUGGCUUGCUCGGUAUUGGAUUUGGCUUGUUCAAGGGUGAAUUGUGUUGUUAUGCAUGUGACCACGCCGCGCAGAUUGUCUUGUUAUGCCAGUGACCACUCCGGGUGGAUUGUGAUGAUAUGCGUAUGACCACGCCAGGCAGAUUGUUAGCAUAUGACCACACCGGGCAGAUCCAUCACAUUGAGCCUGUGAUCACACCGGGCGAAUUAUGAUAUUGAGCUUGUGACCACGCCGGGCUGGUAGCACGUUAAAUUGGUCGUGCUUGCGUGUGGAUAAGGAUCCAUCUCCCUAGGGUCACCCUCUCAUGUUUCUCUCUUGAUAGUGUACAUGCAGAUUUUGAGAGACCGACGGGUUUCUGGUUGAUGUGAGCUCUGGGAGAGCUGUUUACUGUAUUUGGAUCAGGUUGCAUGCCGCAACAUACCUUAUUGGCUUAUUGUUAUUGGAUCGGCUUGAGCGCCGUAACAGACUGAUAUUUGGUUAUUGCAUUUCAUCCUUACUUGUAAGUUUCUUGACUGUUUACCUAAUUUACUUGUAUAUCUUCCUUAUAUGCUGGAUUGUUGACUAAGCAAAACAUUUUAAACAAAGAAUUGUGAGCAUCAAAGUGGUUCUACC